rnacentral:lncRNA from 1 species
CCUGCAUGAGAUGCCGGUUCUUACAUUCAUCAUUGCACAGACUGAUAGCCAGCAAAGAAAUUCCAAGAUUUUAGAAGAUAUGCCCAAAAUGCAUUUAAAAGAAAAUGGAGGCAUGGAGCAAGAGGGUCACCGUGAAAAUCCAAGAAGAAGCUUCUCCUUUUAAACCAGAAAGAUCUGAAAUUGCUCAAGCUGACUUUGUUUGGGAUUCCAGAGAUGAAGUAGGAGGAGGAGGGUUGUUGAGAGAAGAAGAAGACUUGAAGGCCUCAAUCUGUGAGUGACACUCGAGUCAACCCCCUUUACUUUGUUCAACG